rnacentral:ribozyme from 13 species
AAAAAAAAAGGGGAAAGAAACAACAAACAAAAAAGAAAAAAAGAAAAAGGAAGUCAUGUGGACAA